UAUUCAGGUUGGUGCAAAAGUAAUUGUGGUUUUUGUCAUUUCUUUUAAUGGCAAAAACCACAGUUACUUUUGCACUAACCUAAUAU
ensembl:miRNA